rnacentral:lncRNA from 1 species
GGACCGUGAAAUUGGGGUCAAAACUUUAAUUUGGAAUUAAAAUUAGAAAGAUCAUAUCAUAGGGAACAUGUGUACUAAGUUUCAAGUUGAUGUAACUUUAACUUCAUCAAAAACUACCUUGACCAAAAACUUUAACCUGAACUUUGCACUAUCAUUUUCUAUGUUCAGUGGACCAUGAAAUUGGGGUAAAAACUAUAAUUUGGCAUUAAAAUUAGAAAGAUCAUAUCAUGGGGAACAU